CCACGCUUCGUUCGUCCCUCCGUCCUUCUCCUGUCCCGCAAGAAAAAUUGCUCGUCAUCUCCCAUCGCUGCUCUCGACCUCACGUCUCCUCCCGCGACAGAGCGCCGCCGCCGGUCGCCCGCACACCGGGAGCUCUCCAUCGCUGGAUGUAUCCAGCCCGCACUGACGCCCCAAGCUCUCCACCGUCGGCAUAAACCACCCCGCGCGGCCUCCCUGAGCUCUACCUCCCGCCCGCCCCGAGAUCUGCCAGGCUGCCCUACGGAGAGACCUACGUCGACAAGCCCACCGGCGGCUGCUCCGACGGCCGCAUCAUCAUGGACAACCUGGCAGCACAGGAAUUCGGAAUGCCGCUGGGCGACCGCUCAGGCCUCAGCCAUGGGGCCAACUUCCCCAUCAUUGGCGCCACAUCGCUUGACAAGCCCUACUUUGAGGCCAGGGGGCUUGACACAGUAGUCAGAAACUCCAGCGCCCUCAUGACGCACAUCCAGUGGUCAUGUAACCUGAAGCCUUUCUUCUGCAACUCCACCAGGGGUGAAUGUCAAAAGUUGCAGGUAUGUUUUUUUUUAAAGGGGUAUGUCCGGGCCUCAUUGAUAGAAACACAUCCAACGUUUGCAGAUAUGUAGGUGGUGAAUUUAUCAUCUCAGCGAUGAAGGAGGCCAUCUUGUUGAGAUGGGUACACGUGAAGAAUUGUUAAAUCUUGACAGUCUUUAUGCUGAAUUUCUAAGUGUGAAUAGGCAGCAAAAUUUCCGAAGAGGCCAGUGCAUAUUUUACGCAAACAAUAGUUCGCUUAGUUCCCUAGAAAUAGAAAUUGGAUGUUGGUGCAUAUAUUUUCUGAUCUUUUUUCAAUGAACAGCUAUUGUCUUAUUUGAUUUGAGUUCUUAUAUAUGAUGAUGCAGAAAUAUGUUUGAAAACAAAUUUGCUUAUGUACAUGACUGCCACUAUCAUAUUUCAACUUGGCUGAUUUGUCGUAUCCUUAUUGUUCGAGUUGUUUCUGGAAUCCAUGCUUUAUUGUUGUCAAAUUCAGUAAUCUGGACAGAUGACAUUGAGGUGUAAUUUCUUCAUUCUCGGUCUUACUCAAGCAAAACCACUAAACAGAGAAAUUGUCAGGGCGGAGAGACCUGCAGCAAAUAUCUCUGAAGCACACCCAUGCGAUUCAUCUGAGGAAGGUGAUCUUGAAAGUUCGUUUUUGUAGUCACUAAUAAAUAGGUUAGGUUUCUAAUGCAUUUACCUCUCUGCGGAUAUCACUGGUGGGCUGUUGAUCAUGUUUUUUAAUUUGUUCUAGCAGGAAACCAAGGUCAGUCAAAUAUCUUCAUGGAAUAAUUGAAUAAUGCUGCUUCAUAUAAGUAGAUCUACUAAAUAUCCUGUCCAUCUAGAUGGUUUAACAGUUUCCUUAGAAGAAUUUAGCCAAUAUUUAUGAUUGCUGCAUGCCUGCCAAUUUGAAGAUAUAAUAAAUCCAAUAAAAAACGGUGAACUUAAUUGCUGGCUUGUUCUUUGUAGAGGAAUCCAGUUCUAAUGAUUGAUAUAAUUUGUAGGUAAAUGGCUUGAAACUAUGGACACACUGGCUCCACUAUUUGGCUUAUUCAUAUCAUAAACAAGGCAGUAGGUACUUUUCUUACGAGCAAACUGGAUGUACUACUACUUGUUUGCUAAUUGUAUAAUUUACCUCAAGGUCUCUUCUUUAGCAACCAAGGUGCUAUUAAAAAAUUAUUUGUCAUGUAAAUGUCAAGAAUUUAGAUGAUUCAUCUAACUAUAUGGUGCAAAAUGUUAUUUUGUUGGUGGCGUGCAGCCGUAACCAAAAUUACACUUAAAAAUAAUGUUGAUGUUGUGGUAUAACAAUGCGGCGGAGAAAGCGUUCAGGCUCUAGGAAUGAAACCUGCAAAAGCUCUACCUAUUUUAACCUUUGGUUUAGUAUAGUACUUCUCAAAUCUCCCCUACGUUUUAGUUUAUCUUAACCAGCUAAUGAUGGAUAGACUCCUAAAGUGCCUUAGUUUAGGCUUUCAAUAAUUAUGUUUUAGAAAAUGACAUGUUUUGGUUUAGGAAUAGUCUGAACUGAUUUCACAAAAUAUGAUCUCCAUUUCCACUUCCCUGCGGCGGCCAGCCCCCAUGAACCUCUAUCUGUGUGUCAUCGAGGUGUCCGGCCUCCACUGCAGGGCCGCGUGGCUGUGCUCCUCAUCUGGCUCCACUCCGUCCAUGACGACAUGAGCUUGGCCAGGAUGCUUGAUUGCUGGUGUUGUGCUCCCGUAUCCGCUUCCUUGGGUACUCCUAUGAGGGCCUCCAUGGAAUUGUUGUGACUGUUGUCAUGGAGAUGAGUCCUGAGGAAAAGGCCAUGAUCUCAUGUGCUCGGUGGUUCCAAAGCAGCAUUUCGAGUUCACAAUCGACCAAUAUACUCAUGCGCUACCUCGCUCUCUCUCUCCUUGGCAUUAGCAAGGUUUUGUUCUCUCUUACCCGCAAAAAGGUUUUGUUCUCUCUUGUAGCUGCUCAGUUUUUUCUAAUGUGGCUUAUAGUGGGAAAAAAUGGUAUCUCUUACAAAUAAAAAUCUUGAACGGCUUCAUCAGCUACAAUUAUCGUAUGAGUCUUUAUAUCAUGAUGAACAUGUUCUUAUUCUAACUACAUACGAAGUUGGCUUAUCUUGCUUAAUUAAUUUUUUGGUGCUGUCCAAAAAUAAGCUAUUUCAGCUAUACCUCUGCGUUGACUUUCCAACCAUGUUUCACUAAGAUAGUAGAUAGGCAUUGCCACCGGUUUAGUUUAGUCGAUAUCGUUUCAGGUUAUCUAUACUAUGAAAAUUGAGAUCAAGAUAAUGCAAAGGAAGAGUACCUUGCUCGCUCCGAGGUACAUAUUUACACAUUUCUCUAUCUGAAGGUAUUUGGAAAUGCACACAUUCGAUUCGUUAAUUUCUCUCACUGUGAAUUGUUCUUGUAUGUUGUCUUUCUUCACAGAUGUAUAUCAGGCAAGGGAAAAUAACCUUGAUGAUUUCCUGGUUUUGCUAUGAUACCAUAUUUCACUUUUGAAAGGAUAAGUGGAUCUGCAGACAAUCGAUAUUUUUGUCUGAUGCAACUGAAAUUUGAUAUUUCCUAACUAAACAAGCAAGGUUUUUACUAUAGUCAUUACACGCAACUUUAAGGGAAUAUCUUUUGACACUUGUGUCCUGUUAUUUUACAAUCCUCCAAUAUAAAAUUUAAUCUUUUGUUUUCUUGAUUUUACACAAUGUUAUCUGCAAACCUAUAAUGCAUAUUAUAAAUCAUAAGUUCACCAAGUUCUUAAUUUAUACCUGCACUCUGGUGCAUCUGAAGAUAUUAGCAAGUCAUUUUUUUGAGAGAAGUAAGUCAUUUGUAUUGGGACUAUGGGGAGUUACAGAGCUUGCAUCAUGCAUGUCAUCUUAAUUCUCUCUGAAGCCCUGAAACAUGUUCUUUCUGAAAAAUAAACUACUCCCUCCGAUCCAUAAUAAAUGUCGUGAUUUUGAACUAAAACCACAACACUUAUUAUGGAUCGGAGGGAGUAUUAUUUUCUCAUAUAGUUCAACGAAGUUUGACUAAAUGCCAAUCUGAAGACUAGCCGUAAGGCGUUGUUCUAGCUGCUUGGCUACUUCUUCUAUGAACAUGACAAACCUUUUAUGGUGUAUUUUAGAAAAAUGGUUUGACUAAACUGGCCAGGAAUCAAGCUAAUCGCUUGUGGUGGUAGAAAAACAUACUCCCUCUAUCUCAUGAAACUUGUCUGAGAUUUCUCUAAAUUUGAAUGUUUCAUAGGAUGGAGAGAGCAGCAUUGAAGAAAUGAACAUGCAAAUCAACUUAAAAUAAUAUGUAUGUAAAUAAUAUGGUGCUACUACGGAUGUUGCAUAAAUUUGUAGGUAGCUCAAUUUCGUGCACUGGUUUGUCUUUGUAGCAAUGUCAACGUGGCAGAGUGUAAUUAACUUUGUAGUACUAAGGCAAUUUUUUAGUUAUUUAAGAUGAUUGUCUUGCUGUAGGAAGUCAACUUUUCUUAUACUAGGAGUGUACACUGCUGGUUGUUCGUUGGUAACUAUUUUCAGUUAUGUAAUGUAACUAAAUGAUCUUGUCCGACAUUUUUUCUUCAGGAAAAAAAGAGUCUACCAGAUUAAACUGAGGAGUCUGCCCAAUGGUUGGUGUCAUGAUGGUUGCACAUCCUCCUUCCAACCAAUUAGGGCUCUUAAUCCUAGAUUUUUGUUUAGCAGCGCUCCUGACUCAUUGGCCAUUGCUUCCAUUGCUAGGUAUUUUUAUUUGUCAAUGUCAUCGGGAUCAGUUGAUGAGGGGCUGAUUCAAAAGGGGCCGGAAGAAAAAAAAUAACGUUGACUAAAGGGUGAAGAGUCCCUCCUUUAGAUGUCCGUUGUUAGAAAGGACCUCUCUGCAAAUUAGCGCAUUCACAAUCCAGUAACGCGCAUUAUUCAGACGCGGAUGGGCAGGAUGGGGGUAGCGAGGGAGAAAUGGUGUACAUGGUAGCGGAGGGGAAGGAGAAAAUACACGCCUAUGUUGUGCUCGAUUUAUUUGACAACAAAGUAUAUUAACUAAUGGGCGCAGACUUUGAUUAUUGUUCCCUUGUAAUUUAAGUAAUCCAAACUGCAUGCUCUUUAUUAUUGUUCUAUGGUAAUGCAUUGUAUUUUGAGUAAUGCAUGCUCUUGCCCUCUUUGCUGAAUAACAUGUUAGCGAGAAAGAAUUCCUGAAUUAUGCUUCACCUUUAC